ACGCCCGAUCCGCCCCCGUCCACCUCGCCUCUGGACCACUCCCCCAAGCCCGCCCCGCUGGUUCCAGCCCCUCUCGGAGUGGCUGGAAGACUCUUAAUUGUCGGCUGGGAGACUUGACUCUACUUCCGGGGCGUGGUCUCGGUCGAGCUGUAUGUAAAUUUGAGGAAGUCUGGAAGGAGGGAAUUUGCCUCUGAGCAGGGUAAACCCUAGUCAGUCGCAUAAGAUUUUAGUUGGAACUUGCGGGCUCCAGGCCUACUAGUGGGAAAAGCGUAUUUUUAGAGUGCUUCCGCCCCGCCCACGGCUGUGGGCUGGGACUACAAGUCCCCGCCCGCGGGAAUCCAGGAGUGGGGGCUGGAGAGGGCGGCGGUGGGAUGGAGAGGCAUGCUGGGAACUGUAGUGUCACCUCCGCGUUCACAGCAGAUUGGGAACAAAGGAGAGCACGAUGGAGCGGACCUGAAUUUUGAGUUGAAACAGACCGGUCUUCUGGCUGCGUGACCUUGAGCAACUUUCUUCGUUUCUCAGAACUUCUUCCUUCAUCUGUGAAGUGGGGUAAUACAUUUAUUACAGGGCUAUUGUGAGAAUGUGGAAACAUGUAAAACAUUGCAGGUGUCCAAAUGUCAGUUCCCUUCCCUUACUGACGAGGAGUAGCCGCCAUUUUAUGAAAGGACUUAUCAGUGUGACUUCGAUUCCGAAGCAAAUGGUGGUUUUAUGAUUCGGAAAAAGAUGUACAGAAGGUUGAAACAAGACCAUCAGGAUCUUUUUUAUUCAAGAGGAUGAAACAGUUUUCACUUAAACCUUCAAGACUCAAAAAUAAGAAUGAUUCUUAGGUGCUUUAAUCUGAUUUUUGCACCAAUGAAGGAGAUCGAACGUUUUCACGAGUGUUUUUCAUGUCCGUGAACAGAAAGUCCUCCGUUUCGUACAUCUGGGAAGUUUUCAGUUCUCACGCAACCUAUGUCCUGAACAUCGUCAGUUGCAACCUCUUUCCCAUGUCUUCACUGUGACUGCAUAGACUCACACCGUUGUCCUUACCUGACAACUGCACCAGCUCCCAGCUGCUCUUCCAGGUUUCAGUAUUGAUUCUCCAUCCUGUCAACAAGCUGACCUUCUCAAACAUGAGUCUGAUCACAAUCCUCCUCUUUUAACAAGCCAUAGGUGAAUUUCCGUUAACUUGAAAAUAAAAUGUAAACCCUUAGUGUGACUUAUAAGAUCCAUUGUGAUCUGCCCCUCUGUUCAGCCUCACCUGCCAGCACUCUUUUCCGCUCUCCAGCUUCAUUUCUUGGUCAUGCUGAACCAUAUUUUAGUUUCCUAAAUUCACCUUGUUUCUCAUUACUCUUCACUGCACAUACUGCUCCUUUUGCUUGGAAUGACUUUUCUCCUAUCUGGGAAGCUCUUACUAUCCAUUAAGAUUCAGCCACCAUCUCCUUUUUUCAACUUGAAUCACUCUUUCGGGUUGGGUGUUACACCAGUGUGUUCCCGUGCAUGCCCUAUCACAUGACUCAUUUUACUCCAAAUUGCAUUUCAGGGACACCUGGGUGGCUCAGUCAGUUAAGCCAGGUCAUGAUCCUGAGGUCUUGGGAUUGAGCCCUGUGUUGGGCUUCCCGCUCAACCGGGAUUUUGCUUCUCCUUUCUCUCUGUCCCUCCCCCCUACCUGUGUGUGCACUCGCAUGCUCUCACUCACUCUCUCUCAAAUAAAUAAAAAAAAAACUUUAAAAAAAUUAAAUUGCAUAUCAUCAUUGCAUUUAGUGCCAUUGUCAGUCUCCCUACACUGAGAUUCUUGGAAGGGAAGGACUGUCUCAUUUGUCCUUUUCUCACACCACUUAGCAUAGUGCUUGGCACGGAGCAGGCAUUCUGUAAAUGUAUGUUAAAAUAACCAACAUGUAAAUAAUCCAGGAAAGUAAAGUUCAACAUGGAACACCUAUUUUUUUUUAAGGUGGAACAACUUUAAAAUGGGAUUAUUAUGACAGAUUCACAUUAUAUUUAAUACUACUAAAGCUGCUAUAAUAUACAACAGAAAUGUGACCCACAACAGUACAGAUAACUCCGAAUAAUAAACAUCAUUUUCUCCUUGACUAUAAAGAACCACUAAAACAACAACCUUUCCUGAUACUCUUUUACUGGGUGGCUCAGUGGGUUGAGCCAAUGCCUUCGGCUCAGACCAUGAUCUUAGGGUGCUGGGAUCGAGUCCCGCAUUAGGCUCUCUGCUCAGCAGGGAGCCUGCAUCCCUCUCGCUCUCUCUCUCUGCCUGCGUCUCCGACUACUUGUGAUCUCUUUGUCAAAUAAAUAAAUAAAAUCUUAAAAAGGGGGGGGUGCACCUGGGUGGCUCAGUGGGUCAAAGCCUCUGCCUUCAGCUCAGGUCAUGAUCCCAGGGUCCUGGAAUCGAGCCCCAAAUUGGGCUCUCGGCUCAGCGGGGAGCCUGCUUCCCCUUCUCUCUGUGCCUGCCUCAAUGCCUACUUGUGAUCUCUCUCUCUCUGUCUGUCAAAUAAAUAAAUAAAAUCUUAAAAAAAUAAUAAAUUAAAAAAAAAAAGAAAAGAAAAGGAAGCCUCCCCCUCCCUCAUAAUUUCAUGAGUUCAUGAUUUCCCCUCUCAAACUAUGGUUGCUACUGGCAUUUAAAUCUCUGAAACUUCAGGUGUUCCGGUUAAAACAGAAGAGAAAACUACUGAGUAUACCUUUUCAACUGCUUCUGUAAAAUGAUUAGAAAAUUUUAUUUAUAUAUUCGCAAUGUACAGAAUGUAAUUCUGUGAAAAAUGCAGGCUGCCACAGUAGGCUUUCUUAGGGAGGAACAAUAGGCAAAGCAAGGACUAAUCUCCACAAACUUGGGCAUCCAGGAAGUACUUCCUUAUUUUUCUGUAUGCCUGCCAUUCUAUACAUUUAAUUUCUAUCUAUGCCCUCGUAGGAAGGCCAGAAUGAGAGGGGACAGAAUCUUAGCUCAGUUUGGACUUCUCUUUUUUCUAUCCUCCAAGUCCAGGGGCCCAUUUAGUUCCCGGACCUCAGAGGGGCAGGGAGGAGAGGUGUUUGCUCUUUAGUCUUUCAACCGGCUACAUCUCAACACGCACACAAACAUGGUAAAAUUAUAGGCCAUACUCAGUUGACAAUUACCUGAAAUUGGCUAUUGCAGACAUCUGAGCUAGUGAAAAACAAAAGUGAUAGCACACUGCUCUCUACCAGAACGGAGUGGUAGAUCCCAAUGAAGUUCUAAAGCAUUUAAUGUGCUCUCUGAGAAGCUUAAACCAAGUUCAGCGAAGUUAGAAAUGUUAUAUAAGGUUAAGCAUGUAAUGAGUUCUAUAUCAAAUAAAAUAUGUAAGGUUUGAUGUAUGUAAUAUAUUGAACAAUAAAGUUAGAAGUCGAUGAUUUCUUUCAAUAGGAAAUCAUCAUCAUGAAACAAAACCCGUGGUUUUAAACACAAAGGAAAAUCACAAUGGCUUUGAAGUACACAAAAAUACAAGCCCACUUGGAACUACGUAUGGCUCUGUGCAGCUUUGUAUGUGAAAAAAUCAGAAAAAUGCAUCCUGAGGUAUUAACAUGAUUUCAGGGUAGCAAGAUCUCUUAUAUCUAAUUUUUCCUUUCAUUUUAAAAAAUUUUCUCUGAUGGAUAAAUAGUAUUUUUAUAAUAAAAAUUAAAUUGCAUUUAAUUUUUUUUUUAAGAUUUUAUUUAUUUAUUUGACAGAGAGAGAUCACAAGUAGGUAGAGAGGCAGGCAGUGAGAGGGGGGAAGCAGGCUUCCAGCUAAGCAGAGGGCCUGAUGCGGGACUCGAUCCCAGGACCCUGAGCUCAUGACCUGAGCUGAAGGCAGAGGCUUUACCCCACUGAGCCACCUAGGCACCCCUCUAAAUAUACUUUUGAGGGUAUUGUUACUGAGACAGCAGGCAUUGUGUGUGUGCUUACAAUGUAAGUCUGAAGGUUGCAUGAGCACCAACUUAUUCUAUCAAUAAGAGAAUAUUCCACCAAUAAGGUAGAGAGAAGCUCAAGUGAUGAUGGAAUUGGGGAGGGCGUACAUGGGUGAGAAGAAGCAGGUAAAGUGAAAGGUCUGGAGCGCCUGGGUAGCUCAGUCGAUUAAGUGUCUGCCCUCGGCUCAGGUGGUGCAUGAUCCCAGAGUCCUGGGAUCAAGUCCCACAUUGGGCUCUUUGCUCUCCCUCUACCUAUCACUCCAUCUGUGAUUUCCCUCUCUCUUUCUGUCAAAUUAAUAAAUAAAAUCUAUUUAUUUAACCAAGAGAGACACAGUGAGAGAGGGAGCACAAGGAGGGGACUGGGAGAGGGAGAAACAGACUUCCUGCUGAGAAUGGAGCCGAUGUGGGGCUCGAUCCCAGUACCCUAAGAUCAUGACCUGAGCGAAGGCAGAUGCUUAACGACUGAGCCACCCAGGUGCCCCUGAAUAAAAUCUUUAAAAAAAAAUAAAAAUAAAAGGAAAGGGCAAAAGCAGCUAGGACUCAUUGUCGACUGACUGCUACAAAAGGAGGUUAUAG